rnacentral:rRNA from 1 species
UACGUAGGGGCGAGCGUUGUCCGGAAUCAUUGGGCGUAAAGAGCGUGUAGGCGGCUUGUUAAGUCUUGCGUGAAAUCUCGGGGCCUCAACCCGAGCGGUCGUGAGAAACUGGCAGGCUAGAGUGCGGGAGAGGAGAGUGGAAUUCCUGGUGUAGCGGUGAAAUGCGCAGAUAUCAGGAAGAACACCAGUGGCGAAGGCGGCCCGCUGGGCAGUGGCUGACGCUGGAGGCGCGACA